rnacentral:rRNA from 1 species
GAUGAACGCUAGCGAUAGGCCUAACACAUGCAAGUCGAGGGGCAUCACAUGAAGUAGCAAUACGGAUGGUGGCGACCGGCGCACGGGUGAGUAACACGUAUGCAACCUGCCUUCAACAAGGGGAUAACCCGUUGAAAGACGGACUAAUACCCUAUAACACAGGGGUCCCGCAUGGGAAUAUUUGUUAAAGGACAACCGGUUGAAGAUGGGCAUGCGUUCCAUUAGCUAGUUGGCGGGGUAACGGCCCACCAAGGCAACGAUGGAUAGGGGAACUGAGAGGUUUAUCCCCCACACUGGUACUGAGACACGGACCAGACUCCUACGGGAGGCAGCAGUGAGGAAUAUUGGUCAAUGGACGCAAGUCUGAACCAGCCACGUCGCGUGAAGGAAGACGGCCCUACGGGUUGUAAACUUCUUUUAUACGGGAAUAAAGUGCCCCACGCGUGGGGUUUUGCAUGUACCGUAUGAAUAAGGAUCGGCUAACUCCGUGCUAGCACGCCGCGGUAAAUACG